GAGGCAUUAGUGUAGUAGCAGCACAACUCCCUGUGGAGGAGUUAGCAGGGGUGCAAAUCCCCUAUGUCUCC
rnacentral:tRNA from 1 species